rnacentral:rRNA from 1 species
UACGUAGGGCGCAAGCGUUGUCCGGAAUUAUUGGGCGUAAAGAGCUCGUAGGCGGUUUGUCGCGUCUGCCGUGAAAGUCCGGGGCUCAACUCCGGAUCUGCGGUGGGUACGGGCAGACUAGAGUGAUGUAGGGGAGACUGGAAUUCCUGGUGUAGCGGUGAAAUGCGCAGAUAUCAGGAGGAACACCGGUGGCGAAGGCGGCUCUCUGGGCCUGUCCUGACGCUCAGGCGCGAAAGCUAGGGGAGCAAACAGG